UCCUGUUUGCAGUGCCAUAUCUGGCCUAAAGUUGGGACCACAUACUCUGUGCAGUAUCAGAAUACUGCACACUUUCAACAAUUUGAGGGGAGAGGGAGGCAGUUAACCAAGAAAUCACCAUGUAUUGCACCUAUCACAUUAAUGGCUGGUCGGGAGCACGUGCCAUCAACAAAACCCAUUUUGUUUUUAGCAGAUAAUGCAACAAACAUUUUCUCCUCCAACCCCCAUAACCACUUCCCGAGAAGGGAGUGGGGACAAGAGAGACCCCAGGGACAUCAGAGGAGUAUACAAAGAGAGGACUGGUAGAGUCUACCGGGGAGGAGGUACCAACAUUCGUAUUAGAAGUCAUGAUUAAUGUACCAGCUUGAAAAAAGGAGCAGUUUCGACAAGCAAAAUAUAACGAAACCAGAUAUUCACACACAAAACCAGAUACUCACAUACGGAGCCAAAUAAUCACAUACAAAGCAUACAAUACUCAAGAUAAGGACAGAGUUACCCUUCUUCUUCGCGGCCGGAGAAGAUCGGCCUUCAAUCAAUCAGAGAAAACCCUAGGUACAAAACCCUAGGUGCAACCGUUGCAAACCUUACUGGAAAUAUAGUCAGGGAUGUCGGAAAGUCACCCUAAACAUCCACUGAGUGAAGAUCGAGCCACUGGAUAGCAGUAAAACGCUAGGUUAAACCACCAGAUGGGAAAGUCACCCUAAACAUCCACUGAGUGAGGAUCGAGCCACCGGAUAGGAGUAAAACCCUAGGUUAAACUACCAGAAACCCUAGAAGCCGAAAGGUCACCGAAAAAUCACCCAAAAAUCAUCGGAAAAUCUCCCAGAACGUUCGAGUGAAGAAAAUAUACUCAGAUAUCACGAUGAAAAACUCAGAAAGGCGUCCGAUUUAGAUCGGAAUCAUAAUCGACCACAAGGUCUCAGAAACACCCCCAAAAAUCUCAAAAGAGACUUCAACCAAGACAACGAGAUACAGAUAAACAUAGUCGGAUCGUCGUCUAGGCUCUAAUACCAUGGAAACAUUGAGAUUAAACCAAAAAAUCAUGAAGAAUGUAGAGAGAGAAUCUAGAGAGAAGGAGGAGCUCAUAAACACCCCCAAAAAUCUCAAAGGAGACUUCAACCAAGAUAACAAGAUGCAGAAAAACAUAGUCAGAUCGUCGUCUAGGCUCUGAUAUCAUGAAAACUUUGAGAUUAAACUGAAGAAUCAUGAAGAAUCUAGUGAGAGAAUCUAGAGAGAAGGAGGAGCAGUUGAGAGAACUCUCUAGAAGAGAGAGAAUUUUAUUAAUCAGAAAAUGAGAGCCAAAU
rnacentral:lncRNA from 1 species